rnacentral:rRNA from 1 species
AACGAACGCUGGCGGCAGGCUUAACACAUGCAAGUCGAACGCCCCGCAAGGGGAGUGGCAGACGGGUGAGUAACGCGUGGGAAUCUACCGUGCCCUGCGGAAUAGCUCCGGGAAACUGGAAUUAAUACCGCAUACGCCCUACGGGGAAAGAUUAUCGGGUACGAUGAGCCCGCGUUGGAUUAGCUAGUUGGUGGGGUAAU